CAGCAGCCGCGGGAACACAGAGGGUGCGAGCGUUAAUCGGAUUUACUGGGCGUAAAGCGUGCGUAGGCGGCUUUUUAAGUCGGAUGUGAAAUCCCUGAGCUUAACUUAGGAAUUGCAUUCGAUACUGGGAAGCUAGAGUAUGGGAGAGGAUGGUAGAAUUCCAGGUGUAGCGGUGAAAUGCGUAGAGAUCUGGAGGAAUACCGAUGGCGAAGGCAGCCAUCUGGCCUAAUACUGACGCUGAGGUACGAAAGCAUGGGGAGCAAACAGGAUUAGAGACCCCCGUAGUCCCUGUCUCUUAUAC
rnacentral:rRNA from 1 species